UUCCGGUUGAUCCCGCCGGAGGUUACUGCUUUCGAGAUUCGACUAAGCUAUGCGAGUCGAAUGUUCUUCGUGAACAUGGCGGACUGCUCAGUAACACGUGGACAACCUACCCUUGGGUCUGGCAUAAUCCUGGGAAACUGGGUAUAAUUCCAGAUAGGUCACAGAUGCUGGAAUGCACUGUGGCCGAAAGCUCCGGCGCCCAAGGAUGGGUCUGCGGCCUAUCAGGGUUGUAGUGGGUGUAACGGACCUACUAGCCUACGACGGGUACGGGUUGUGAGAGCAAGAGCCCGGAGAUGGAUUCUGAGACACGAAUCCAGGCCCUACGGGGUGCAGCAGGCGCGAAAACUUUACAAUGCGGGAAACCGUGAUAAGGGAAUCUCGAGUGCCACCAUAUAAUGUUGGCUGUCCAGAUGCCUAAAAAGCAUCUGUUACCAAGGGCCGGGCAAUACCGGUGCCAGCCGCCGCGGUUACACCGGCCGCCCGAGUUGGUAACCGCUUUUAUUG
rnacentral:rRNA from 1 species